rnacentral:rRNA from 1 species
UACAGAGGUCCCAAGCGUUGUUCGGAUUCACUGGGCGUAAAGGGUGCGUAGGUGGUCGGGUAAGUCUGAUGUGAAAUCUCCGAGCUCAACUCGGAAAUGGCAUUGGAUACUAUUCGGCUAGAGGGUUUGAGGGGGGACUGGAAUACUUGGUGUAGCAGUCAAAUGCGUAGAUAUCAAGUGGAACACCAGUGGCGAAGGCGAGUCCCUGGAAAACUCCUGACACUGAGGCACGAAAGCUAGGGGAGCAAACAGG